GAUAAACUGAUGGAGUUUAGCAAUAGUAAAUAAUGGAUUGGCCCAAAGUAAUAAAGGUUAGAAGACUUAAUGGGCCUGGGUGAACUGAACUGCAACAUGUGUAUAUGAUGACGUAAACUAAAUGUGUUUGAUUGAUAUGAGAUCCAACAAGUACGGUACUUGGUUAUUUUGUUUUGGGAAAAAAACUAGUCAGCCGCCUCAGUUGUGAAGUUGGAGAAAAAAAAAAACCCUACUUUUCAUCUUAAAAUUACUCUGCUGCUGGUGCUUUGGUGGAUGCUGAAAUUUUCAAGUAUGUUGGAACCCAAAGGCGUUCUUUUCAGUUUACCGUACAAAUGGGAAGGAUUUUGUGCUUGUUGUGGUGAUUAAGGCCACUCGACCCAGCCCACAAAAGUUUUGUAACGAAAUUUGGAGUUUAAGGAUGAACUACAAACAACUGUGGAAGUUAGAGGAAAUUUGCAGGCACUCAAAAGAUGGUUUUAGUAUUGGCUCAAGGUUGCUCAUUAUUUUGGGGGUCGUGGUAUGUCUCUAUGCUGCUAAUGUAAGUAGAAGUGGUUAGUUAUUAGUGUUACUUGCUAUUUUGUUGUCUAUAUGUUGUAUUAUUAUUUAAAACAAAACUGGAUUGUAAGUUUUGCUUUUACAGUUAGAGUACAAUUUCUUCAGUUCGGAAACAUUGGCAAGUUUAGAAAAGUGAAACAACUUGGCUACAAUGAGGGUUUGAAACUUAUCUCCUAAGAAUAUUGUGAAGUCAACUUAAUGUAAUCCUGGAAAGUAAAUGCUUCUCCAUCUUUUGUUAUCUAAGACAUAAAAUAAAGAUGAUGGUUUGCUUUCUUUGUGGCUCCUCCAUUAUUAAUCCUUUGCUUCACAACAUGAUUCUGCUUUGUUUACUACUAGUCGUUUACCCGCGCGAUGCGGCGGGAAACAUAUGACUUAGGUUGGUGAGUUUAGGGCUAUGUACGGGGCUGUUCGGUUUUGAGCCUACUUAAUUGAGUGUAAAAUAACUAAUCCACAACUUCUCUGCAGGCAAUCCAUAUCUGAACGACUGAACCCAAAGCACAAAAUUAAACAAGAAUUAGGACAAUUGAAGACAAAAACACAAGGUUAAGCAGUAUCAAAAUGUUUGCAAACAAAUAGUAUAUUAAAAAUCUGAAUUGAAGUUUUGCUAUAGGGUAUAUAUCAUAGCUAAAAAUAAAAAGUAUGUUUUAAAAAAAAAUAUUAUAGCAUUUUAUAAAGCGGUAUAGGAGGUUUUUAUGCAGUUAGUAUGCUUAUUAAAGUUUUCGAGUUAGUAGCAUCGGUGAUAAUUUUCCUUUUUCAUAUAUUAAUUCACAAAAGUGUAUCAUAUAAUGUAACUAAUUGUUUGUGUACUUAUUGAAGUUUUUGAGUUAGUAGCAUUGGUGAUAAUUUGGUAACGGGGAAUGAGGGAUAAGAAAACACGUCUGGUGGCCAUGUAUAUUAAAACAAGAAAAAGAUUAGUACAUAAUAAAUAAAAAAGUACAAGUAUAAGAGUGGUAAGCCAACAGUGGUAUGCCAUCAGUAGUAGAAUUAGAGCCUAACUUGGGAACUAAGAAGUAUAAGAGUAGUAGAAUUAGAGCCAACAGUGGUAUGCCAUAAUAAAUAAAAAAGUACAAGUAUAAGAGUGGUAAGAAGUUUUAUAACACUUACGGGAUCUAACACUAACCUUAUGUUAACUAGUUCUAUACCCGUCCGGUGGACGGGAUCUUAUUUUGAUAUCAUAAUGAUAAAAGUUUUUUUUUUUAAUUCUAAAUAUAUUUAGAUCAUGAUGAAAAAAAGUUAAAAGUAUGUAAAUAUCAUAAAAUUACAUUAAUUGUUUUGGGAUGAAAACGAAAAUCGUUUUUCUAAAUAAUAAAGAAAAAGUAAGUGUUUUAUACUCAUAAAUAAAUAAAGUUUUGGUAUUCUCAUUUCACCAUGUCUAGAGAUGCCUCUCUUAUGUUUAAAAAAUGUUGAUUAUCCGAAUUUAACGAUAAAAUUCUUUAAAAAGUUACAUUAAUUGAUUCUUCUCAAAUUAACUUUUAAACUUUGUAUUUCUGUUAAUUUUAUUUAUCCAAUAUUACGAAAUCUACAAAUAUGCAGUAUAAAAUCUUACUAUUAUAAUAAACAAAACUACUUGUGGGACACUUGGCAUAUUCGGAGGGCCUCUCCUUUUCUUUUUUCCCGCCCAAAUUCCGGGUUGUGAUUUGGUUACAUGCGGUGCUCCAUAUUCUUUUUAUGACCCUGAUUCAAAUGUCAUUCAACCCCUGAAAAUUAGCUCUCAUUCGUUGUUUUCAUCUUUUCACUCCAGAACCCUAAAAAAACUCCAUCAUCUCAUCUCUCAGCAUUGGCUCCUUCACCAACAUCGAUUUCAUCUUAAAGAUUUUGACCCUUUGUGAAUGCAAAGAAGACAUAAAAAAUAAAGUUCACGCGAUGAUCGAUAAAUUGGCUUAACAUUUGCAGAGCUCACGCCGAUGAACAACUUGCUAUUGCUAAGGAGAUUGGUAGACGACUUCGUAUGGGGCAAACACGCACCCUUCUUCUUUACUUGGUGGCGACAAGGAUGCAUCUAUAGCAGUUCACCUUAUUUAAGAGCUGAUUGAGGAAACUGAUGAAUUUACUGGACUUUUCCUAGAACUUAAGUAUGAGAUGUGAAGGAUUUACAAGAAAGAAUGUGCAUUUGUAGAAAGAUAGGUGAUGGUGUGAAUGAUGCACCUGUUUAAAAAAAAAAAAAAAGCUAAAAGCACACUUUGGUAAUUGAUGUUGCUUAGCUAUAGAUGAUGAAAUCGUGUAGCAGACUACAUUUGUUACCAAUUGCGAAUCUGCUGGAGAGAGCCACAUGUAUUUAUUUUUUAAUUUUCGAAUAUUUGUUAUGCGGUUAAUAUUACUAUUUUUCAUAUAGUUUGCUCACUUAAUAUUCAUGAUUUGUAGUAUGAGGGAUAAGAUUGAGACUCCAGAAGAGAUUUAGUUUAGAAAUCAGUCAAAUAAUUUCACUUCAUUUUUGUUUGUUAUGAUUUACUUCAAAUUGUUAGGUGUAGGUGCUCAUUCAAAGACAAGAAAAUAAUUAUUUACCAUAAUGUAGAAGGCUAUAUGUUCUGUUGUUUAGGAUCAUGUUUGCUUUAUGCAAAGUGAGGUUUUUUCUUUUUGGUAAUCACGUUCGGGAGAGAACAUAUGUAUACUGUAUUACAUUGAGAUCCAUUUAUAUUGCACACUAUUUUUUAUUUACUUAAUGAACUUUAUUUUUAUUAUAUUUUUGUGUUAUACAACUUAAAAUUAUUCAACCCGUGUAUCACACGGGUAAAUAACCUAGUCUGUAAUUAAGCUAAACUACAAGGGUGCGGUUUGUAUAUUAAAAAACAAUUUUUAUCACCAAUCGUUGUAUCCAAGAAACCCAUUUCGUUGACACGUGUUACAAAAUCCUUCAUUUUCUCUGAUUUUUUCCCUCUUCAAGAAACCCUAAUCAGUAAUCACUCUAAUUGCCCACUUGAAAUUUUUAGCCAAGUUUCUUUCCAUCUUCAUCGAUGUUGAGACGCUUGCAUCAUCUUCUUCAACAUCAUGCCAUGGUGCUAUUGUUCUUGUUUAUAUAUGCACCAAAGUUUAGAGAGGUGUUCUGACAAAGGAGUAGCUUGAUGUUUUGAGUUUAAAUCUUCAUCAAUCAGGUUGUUUUUAGCAUCGUAUCCUCUGGUACGGCUCUUGAUUUUCGGUAAAUCACACAUUUUUUUUCGUUUCUUAAGUUUAUUAGGGUUUCGGUAGAUUCAAUUUGGGGAUAUCACUAUCAAUCACGAUUUGGGGUUAUUGUAAACCCAUUAGUGUUUUUAGUAAGAUUUUUAAUUUUAUUUGGAUCUUUUGUAGUGUUCUGAUAUUUAUUAGGGUUUGGAUGGAUACAAUUUUUGUGAUUAAACGUGUUUGGUGUUAAGUUAAUCAAGCGUCUGGUCACUCUCUAAAGGUAUACUAAUGGAUCAAUAUUUACAUGUUUAUUCGCAGCCUCUAAUCUAUGUGCUUUCAAGUAACCAAAAUUGACUGGUAAAAACCGUAGUUUUUUAGUUGGAAAGUUUGUGCUUGGUAUUCCAUUGAAGGCUAGUUCAUUGUUCGUUACAUGUUGUGAGAUGGAAAAGUGAAAAUGGAGCAUGGAACUUGGAUGAGAAGACGAAGCAGAGAGUCAAAUGCGUUUUACAGACACUACAUGUUGUGGGUAUAAAUAGGCUACUUUUGGAGGUAACCAUACGGCGGUUACCUACGACAAUCAAGGAAAGGCUAAUGCAUUCGCGACAUCAACUCAAAACAAAUUUAUGUCUAGCAUUAAAUUUCUUUUUUAUUGUGAUUUUUUUUCUGUGUUUAUGUUUUGAAAUUCUUUAUAUUGUUUUAUUGUCAUGAAAAAGCUUUAUCUUUUAUUUA